UACGUAGGUGGCAAGCGUUGUCCGGAUUUAUUGGGUUUAAAGGGUGCGUAGGCGGCUUUGUAAGUCAGUGGUGAAAUAUGGCAGCUUAACUGUCAGGGUGCCAUUGAUACUGCGGAGCUUGAGUACAGAUGAGGUAGGCGGAAUUGACGGUGUAGCGGUGAAAUGCUUAGAUAUCGUCAAGAACACCGAUAGUGAAGACAGCUUACUAGACUUCAACUGACGCUGAGGCACGAAAGUGUGGGGAUCAAACAGG
rnacentral:rRNA from 1 species